GUCCCUAUAGUAUAUUGGUAGUACGCAACCCUCUCAAGGUUGUAGGGCGGGAUCGUUACCCGCUAGGGAUAC
rnacentral:tRNA from 1 species